rnacentral:rRNA from 1 species
CCCUUAGAUGUUCUGGGCCGCACGCGCGCUACACUGAUGCAUUCAACAAGCCUAGCCUUGACCGAGAGGUCCGGGUAAUCUUUGAAACUGCAUCGUGAUGGGGCUAGAUUAUUGCAAUUAUUAAUCUUCAACGAGGAAUGCCUAGUAAGCGUGAUUCAUCAAAUCGCGUUGAUUACGUCCCUGCCCUUUGUACACACCGCCCGUCGCUCCUACCGAUUGAAUGUGUUGGUGAGGAGCUCGGAUUGGCAGCAGUUGGUGGUUCGCCACCGGCUAUUGCUGAGAAGUCCUCCAAACCGCCCCACUUAGAGGAAGGAGAAGUCGUAACA